rnacentral:lncRNA from 1 species
CUUCAUUACAAAUCAGCAAAACAGAGUACAAAGGAGAUCAAUUACAACUUGGAACUAGAAAAUUGAAGUUUACAAGGUUAGAAUUCUAUUUGUAGGAAUUUUCCUUAACUUCUUUUUCUCUUCCGUUUUCUCUUUUUCUUGGACUCUUCUCAAACGUGUUGCUCCACUUUCUUAAAUCUUGGUCAUGAUCUGAAACCGACCCAUUUAUUUACCUCCACGUGUUUCCAAUAGAAGUUUCACCAAAUUCCAAUUUACAGCUCUAUAAUAUGCUUGGCAAAACCAAAUAAAGACAGCACUAUAGAGACUGUUAGACAUUAUGUUGUCAAACGACCUCCCGGGUGAUGAUGAGAACCAAUUUUAUCAGUCGACAUGAAUGACUGAACGAUAAUUCAAAAUCGAAUAAUGGAUGAACCGACCAAACAUUGCUUUACCUAUUGGACGGCUAAUACUCUUCGUGGCUUGUUGAUUCUUUCCAUUGGAAGUUAACCCUAGUCGAGCCUACUUACCAUAUCCCUAUUUACCUUAUGUUGGCCACUUGACUUACUAUAUAUAUUGGUGUUUUCACCCUUGUUGAACCCGUCCAAUGUUGAAGCCGUGAGAGUUAGAGAAACUGCCGUGUCCAGCCGAGUUCUUCUGCCUUCAUCUUCUUCGUGAUUUCUUCUCCACCCAAUUGCUUGAGUCUUUGUGAACCUUACCUGAGUGGUAUCCAUCCUAAGUGUGUGGAUUAAAUCAACAAAGCAAAGGAGGAAAGCAACCAAGUGGGAAGAAGGCGCCGGCGGUAUUGGUGAAUCCAAUUGAUGUUGAAUUCGGUUUUUAAUGGUUAACUGAGCCCGGAAAUCACCGUGAGCAGCAAGAGGAAAGUCCUAACAGAGACUUAAUCCCAAGUUUCUCUAACUGCUUCAAGUUGAGUCAAAAUUCACAAUCAUGUAUGAAAAAAUGUACGUUCAACAGCUGCACUCAAUCGAAGUAACCAUGCAAAAAUACAUCAUAAAAAAACUUUUUUCAUUCUUGAUAUACAAAAUAACCCAGAUUGCAGGAUCAAAAGCUUUCAAACUAACCAAAUCUCAUAACCAGAUCAUAAUCACCAAAAGCAUCAGAUAUUAAGAGAAUCGAGCUCAGAUUUUAUUAUACCUGUCUAUAUCGCGGUGGUUUCAAGAACACUAAAUCCAAAUGACCCAGUGGAGCUACUUCAAUGGAUCGUUAAAUCCAAUCACAAGAUCCACAAACUCUUCUCUUAAACAUAAUCACAAAGACUCACUCAAGAAUGCACUCUAAACACUUAAGAAUAUGACUAACCAAAGGUUAUAAUCAAGGGAGAAGGUAAACAGAAGGCAACAGAGAGAAAACCCUCGCCUCACAUAGAAAAAGAAUGGAUAAAAUGAAUGAAAAC